rnacentral:rRNA from 1 species
AUCGAACGCUGGCGGCAGGCCUAACACAUGCAAGUCGAGCGAGGACUUCGGUUCUAGCGGCGGACGGGUGAGUAACGCGUGGGAAUGUGCCCUUCUCUACGGAAUAGCCCUGGGAAACUGGGAGUAAUACCGUAUACGCCCUUUUGGGGAAAGAUUUAUCGGAGAAGGAUCAGCCCGCGUUGGAUUAGGUAGUUGGUGGGGUAAUGGCCUACCAAGCCGACGAUCCAUAGCUGGUUUGAGAGGAUGAUCAGCCACACUGGGACUGAGACACGGCCCAGACUCCUACGGGAGGCAGCAGUGGGGAAUCUUAGACAAUGGGGGCAACCCUGAUCUAGCCAUGCCGCGUGAGUGAUGAAGGCCUUAGGGUUGUAAAGCUCUUUCAGCUGGGAAGAUAAUGACGGUACCAGCAGAAGAAGCCCCGGCUAACUCCGUG